rnacentral:rRNA from 1 species
GAUGAACGCUGGCGGCGUGCCUAAUACAUGCAAGUCGAGCGAACGGACGAGGAGCUUGCUCCUUUGACGUUAGCGGCGGACGGGUGAGUAACACGUGGAUAACCUACCUAUAAGACUGGGAUAACUUCGGGAAACCGGAGCUAAUACCGGAUAAUAUAUUGAACCGCAUGGUUCAAUAGUGAAAGACGGUUUUGCUGUCACUUAUAGAUGGAUCCGCGCCGCAUUAGCUAGUUGGUAAGGUAACGGCUUACCAAGGCAACGAUGCGUAGCCGACCUGAGAGGGUGAUCGGCCACCCUGGAACUGAGACACGGUCCAGACUCCUACGGGAGGCAGCAGUAGGGAAUCUUCCGCAAAGGGCGAAAGCCUGACGGAGCAACGCCGCGUGAGUGAUGAAGGUCUUCGGAUCGUAAAACUCUGUUAUUAGGGAAGAACAAAUGUGUAAGUAACUAUGCACGUCUUGACGGUACCUAAUCAGAAAGCCACGGCUAACUACGUG